ensembl:lncRNA
UGAUGAACUCAUCCAAACUGAAAUAUUACUGAUGAACUCAUCCCAACUGAACUAUUACUGAUGAACUCAUCCAAACUGAACUAUUCCUGAUGAACUCAUCCAAACUGAAAUAUUACUGAUGAACUCAUCCCAACUGAACUAUUACUGAUGAACUCAUCCCAACUGAACUAUUCCUGAUGAACUGAUCCCAACUGAACUAUUCCUGAUGAACUCAUCCCAACUGAACUAUAACUGGUUUGAAACAAACUUCAGUUAGUUGGUGUCCACCCUAGUCUGUAUCGAUCUGGGAUGCAUUCCAAGUGGCACCCUAAUCCCUUUAUAGUGCACUACUUAUGAAUAGGGCCCUAUGGGGAUGCAGACCUGGUGUAAGUACUUGCUGUUACUAAAGGCUCCAUUACCUACCUGCGGAACCUUACCUCUCUCAUCACAAGGGUCUUCAACACAACUCCUGGAGGGUUUUUUGGAAGAUUUAAAAAAAACAAACAGAGGUGUACAUAACAAAUGGCAUCCUAUUCUCUUUGAAGUGCACUACUUUUGACCAGGGUAAUAGUAUGCCGUUUGUGACACACCCUAGAGUAUUCUCAGUCAAUUGUCGACCGGCUAAUCAUAAACCAAAGAUGACAGGAGAGCUUUAUAAUGGCUAGUAAUGGCUAGGUGAGAUGUGUUGGAUGGCAUCUGUAUCGCUGUUGAACUAAACAGUUAGCGUACUAGUGAUUAUACAAUAUUAGUUUCUUCCUAUAUCAUAGGCUACAUUCAAACUUGUAGAGGACAUUUAAAUUAGUGCAAUACAUAUUGGAUGGCUAUAAAGGUUUGUGUUACAGGAUAGAAUUAGCAGGUAUUCUAGUCUCGCUAAUAUCCCCUACAGGAUAGAAUUAGCAGGUAUGCUAGUCUAGCUAAUAGCCCAUACAGGAUAGAAUUAGCAGGUAUGCUAGUCUAGCUAAUAACCCCUACAGGAUAGAAUUAGCAGGUAUGCUAGUCUAGCUAAUAACCCAUACAGGAUAGAAUUAGCAGGUAUGCUAGUCUCGCUAAUAUCCCCUACAGGAUAGAAUUAGCAGGUAUGCUAGUCUCGCUAAUAUCCCCUACAGGAUAGAAUUAGCAGGUAUGCUAGUCUCGCUAAUAUCCCCUACAGGAUAGAAUUAGCAGGUAUGCUAGUCUCGCUAAUAUCCCCUACAGGAUAGAAUUAGCAGGUAUGCUAGUCUAGCUAAUAUCCCCUCUGGUUACAUUGUUCUGUAACGGCUCAUUCUCGUAUGAGCAAUUGAGCAUAUCAACUCACUGUGCUAAGUCUAGGGUUGCAAAAAUACAUAAGGUAUACUUUCAAAAAAAAUUCCAUGGUUUUCCAGAAAUCCUGGUUGGAAGAUUCCUCUUAAGAUUCUGAGCAAUGUGUCAAUGACCACACUAUGAAUAUAUGUGUAUCUGAGUUAGGUUGUUUUGGUUGGCGGUCAAUUCCGUCGAUUCAUGGAAAAAAAAAGAAAGUAAAAGCAUUUAACAAUUCAAGGAUUUAAUUGAAACUUACCAAAUUUCAACUUUUGAAUUGACUGAAUCGAUAGUUGAACUGAGCCCAACUCUGCGUUGAACCUCUCUAAAUGUGUCCUCCCUCAAUCUCAGACCUGUAGUUAUUUUUUAUUUUUUUAUUUUACCUUUAUUUAACUAGGCAAGUGAGUUAAGAACACAUUCUUAUUUUCAAUGACGGCCUGGGAACAGUGGGUUAACUGCCUGUUCAGGGGCAGAACGACAGAUUUGUACCUUGUCAGGUCAGAGGUUUGAACUCACAACCUUCCGGUUAAUAGUCCAACGCUCUAACCACCCUGCCGCCCCAGUUCAAUCAACAACUUCUCGAUGUCAUUGACUAUGUUGUUCUUAUGAAUGUAUUCAGGCUGUCUGUGUCUAUGACUAUACUAUCAGUGUUAUUGUCAAUGAAUGUAACUAUUUGAAUGUUCUCUGACUGCCUGUCAAUGAAUGUAACUAUUUGAAUGUUUUCUGACAGUGUCUGAAUGUAUUUCAGUUUCCGUAGGACUACUCAUGUUCUGAGUCCCACCAAUAUCAGACCUCUGAAUAUCAGAGUGCCCAAAUGGCGGUAUUUUCCCUACAUAGUGCACUACUUUUGACCAGAGCCAUCAAAAGUAAUGCACUAGGGGAUAGGCUGCAAUUUGGGACUCAGUUCAACCUGUUGAUCAGCCUGUUGAUCAACCUGUUGAUCAGCCUGUAAAACUGUUGGAGACGUUCAGGUUGAGGUUUUCAGUUCGGACAGCAAGCAAACAUUUGUUGUGUUAUACUUGUUUAAAAAAAAUAAUUCUGUGAAACAUAUGAGACGAUCAGCAAUUGGCCAUUGGGUACAUGUCAAUCAUUCCUCAAUCAGCCCCAGCCCCACCCCCAUUGCUGUUUACUUACACACACACACACACACACACACACACACACACACACAAAUACACGUUUUAUCUGUUUAUUAUUGUUAUUACUAGGCUAUUAUUAUGAUUAUUUUUAAAUGCAUGAUGAGGUAAUAAUGUAAAUAGUUCAUUCACAAAGACGUCUUUCCACAUUCUGAAGGACCACGUUCGACAUUCGUACGAGGCUAGAAGAAAGUGUUUGAAUAGAGAACACAGCAUGUGGGCUAGUUAUUAAUAUUAUGUUGCAACUGUGAAAGAGAGAGGGGCAGAGAGAGAGAGAGGCAGAGAGAGAGGCAGAGAUAGAGGCAGUGAGAGAGAGGCAGGGUUGAGAGAGAGAGAGGCAGUGAGAGAGGCAGAGAGAGAGAGAGAAAGGCAGAGAGAAAGGCAGAGAGAGAGGCAGAGAGAGAGAAAGGCAGAGAGAAAGGCAGAGAGAGAGGCAGAGAGAGAGAGGCAGAGAGAGAAAAACAGAGAGAGAGAGAGGCAGAGAGAGAGAGAGAGAAUAACAUCUAACUACAACUAACUAGGUUAUAAGUUUUACAGUAAUCAGCACAGCACCUGUAGACCAGACCAGGCCCAUAGUACUUUGUCCUUCAGUAAGCCACUCUAAAUGGUGAUUACAUUUCUUAGAUCCAACUCACAGUUUCUACGUGAAACAAGCACACCCCGCAGCUCAUGUCAAUCAGAGUAACACUGAGGAGUAAGAGCGGGUGGGUUUAUUUUGCGUUUAGAGAGUUAUAGUAGUGUCUUCUUAGAUCAGGGCUGCUGAAACCCUUUUCAUGGAGAGCUACCCUCCUGUAGGUUGUUGCUCCAACCCUUAGCUAACAUACCUGAUUUAGCUAGGUAAGGUGUUGUUGAGCAUCUAGGGUUGGACGGACCCUGCAGGAGAAGAGCUCUCCGUGAACAUGGAUGGGCAGCCUUGUCUUGGAUCAACACCAGGCAACAGCAGACUUGCAGAGCCUUCAGAAAACAUUCACACCCCUGAACUUUUUAUACAUUUUAUUCUGUUACAGCUUGAAUGGAAAAAAAUGAUCAAAUUGAGAUUUUGUGUCAUUGGCCUUAAUGUCAAAAUGUCAUUGUGUUUUUUUUUAAAUUGACAAAUUACUUAAAAAUUAAAAGCUGAAAUGUCUUGAGCAUAUACUCACACAAUGAGCUGUAAGGUCCUUCAGUUGAGCAAUGCAUAUCAAAUACAGAUUCAACCACAAAGAACAGGGAGGUUUUCCAAUGCUUCACGAAGAAGGGCACCUAUUGGUAGAUGGCUAAACAUAAAAAAGCAGACAUUGAAUAUCCCUUUGAGCAUAGUGAAGCUAUUAAUAACACUUUGGAAGGUGUAUCAAUACACCCAGUCACUACAAAGAUACAGGCGUCCUUCCUAACUCAGUUGCCAGAGAUGAAGGAAACCACUGAAGGAUUUCACCAUGAGGCCAAUUGUGACUUUAAAACAGUUACUGAGUUUUAAUGGCUGUGAUAGGAGAAAACUGAGGAUGGAUCCACAACAUUGUAGUUCCUCCACAAUACUAACCUAAAUGACAGAGUGAAAAGAAACAAUCCUGCAUAGAAAAACAAUAUUCCAAAACAUGCAUCCUGUUUGCAAUAAGGCAUUUAAGUAAAAUCCAAAAAACACAUAACUGAGUACCACUGUUCAUAUUUUCAAGCAUGGUGGUGGCUGCAUCAUGUUAUGGGUAUGCUUGUCAUCAGCAAAGACUAGGGAGUUUUUUUAGGAUAAAAAUAAAUGAAAUAGAGCUAAGGCAAAAUCUUAGAGGAAAAUCUGGUUCAGUCUGCUUUCCACCAGACACUGGGAGAUUAAUUUACCUUUCAGCAGGACAACAACCUAAAACACAAGGCCAAAUAUAAACAGCAGUUGGUUACCAAGACAACAUUGAAUGUUCCUGAGUGGCAUAAUUAAAAUCAGCUUGAAAAUCUAUGGCAAGACAUGAAAAUGGCUGUCAAGCAAUGAUCAACAACCAACUUGACAGAGCUUGAAGAAUUUUCUUAAGAAUAAUGUGCAAAUAUUGUACAAUAAAGGUGCAAAGCUCUUUUGAAACUUACCCAGAAAGACUCACAGGUGUAAUCACUCUUAGAGACUCACUCAAAAAGACUCACAGGUGUAAUCCCUGCCAAAGGUGAUUCUAACAUGUAUUGACUCAGGGGUGUGAAUUCUUAUGUAAAUUAGAGAUUUCUGUAUUUCAUUUUCAAUAAAUGUGUAGAUAUUUGUAAAAACAUGUUUUCACUUUGUCAUUAUGGGGUAUUGUGUGUAGAUGGAUGACAAAAAAUAUAUUUAAUCCAUUUUAAUUUCAGGCUGUAACACAACAACAUGCGGAAUAAGUUAAGGUGCUGCAGAGAUGUUGAUGGCAUCUCAGCCAUAGAUGAAUAUACAGUUGAAGUCGGAAGUUUACAUAAACCUGAGCCAAAUUAAUUUAAACUCAGUUUUUCACAAUUCCUGAUAUUUAAUCCUUGUAAAAAU